UACAGAGGGUGCAAGCGUUGUUCGGAAUUACUGGGCGUAAAGCGCGUGUAGGCGGUUGUUCAAGUCAGGUGUGAAAGCCUUGAGCUCAACUCAAGAAAUGCACUUGAUACUGGAUGACUAGAGGACCGGAGAGGAUAGUGGAAUUCCCAGUGUAGUGGUGAAAUACGUAGAGAUUGGGAAGAACACCAGCGGCGAAGGCGGCUAUCUGGACGGUUUCUGACGCUAAGACGCGAAAGCGUGGGGAGCAAACAGG
rnacentral:rRNA from 1 species